UGAUCCCCGACGGCGCCAUGGACCGAGC
rnacentral:piRNA from 1 species